AGAGUUUGAUCAUGGCUCAGGAUGAACGCUAGCGGCAGGCUUAACACAUGCAAGUCGAGGGGUAUAAGUCUUCGGAUUUAGAGACCGGCGCACGGGUGCGUAACGCGUAUGCAAUCUACCUUUUACAGCGGGAUAGCCCAGAGAAAUUUGGAUUAAUACCUCAUAGCAUAGCAGCUUCGCAUGAAGGCGCUAUUAAAGUCACAACGGUAAAAGAUGAGCAUGCGUCCCAUUAGCUAGUUGGUAAGGUAACGGCUUACCAAGGCUACGAUGGGUAGGGGUCCUGAGAGGGAGAUCCCCCACACUGGUACUGAGACACGGACCAGACUCCUACGGGAGGCAGCAGUGAGGAAUAUUGGACAAUGGGCGCAAGCCUGAUCCAGCCAUGCCGCGUGCAGGAUGACGGUCCUAUGGAUUGUAAACUGCUUUUAUACGAGAAGAAACACUCCUACGUGUAGGAGCUUGACGGUAUCGUAAGAAUAAGGAUCGGCUAACUCCGUGCCAGCAGCCGCGGUAAUACGGAGGAUCCAAGCGUUAUCCGGAAUCAUUGGGUUUAAAGGGUCCGUAGGCGGUUUAAUAAGUCAGUGGUGAAAGCCCAUCGCUCAACGGUGGAACGGCCAUUGAUACUGUUAAACUUGAAUUAUUAGGAAGUAACUAGAAUAUGUAGUGUAGCGGUGAAAUGCUUAGAGAUUACAUGGAAUACCAAUUGCGAAGGCAGGUUACUACUAAUUGAUUGACGCUGAUGGACGAAAGCGUGGGUAGCGAACAGGAUUAGAUACCCUGGUAGUCCACGCCGUAAACGAUGGAUACUAGCUGUUGGGAGCAAUCUCAGUGGCUAAGCGAAAGUGAUAAGUAUCCCACCUGGGGAGUACGUUCGCAAGAAUGAAACUCAAAGGAAUUGACGGGGGCCCGCACAAGCGGUGGAGCAUGUGGUUUAAUUCGAUGAUACGCGAGGAACCUUACCAAGGCUUAAAUGUAGAUUGACCGUUUUGGAAACAGAACUUUCGCAAGACAAUUUACAAGGUGCUGCAUGGUUGUCGUCAGCUCGUGCCGUGAGGUGUCAGGUUAAGUCCUAUAACGAGCGCAACCCCUGUUGUUAGUUGCCAGCGAGUCAAGUCGGGAACUCUAACAAGACUGCCAGUGCAAACUGUGAGGAAGGUGGGGAUGACGUCAAAUCAUCACGGCCCUUACGCCUUGGGCUACACACGUGCU
rnacentral:rRNA from 1 species